UCACUUACACAUGGCACUCAGAUGUGUGCAUAGACUUAGCAUCCAGGCAGUCUGCUAAGUUCUUGACAUACUUUAAAUUAUUUCAUCUUCUCAGUAAACUGAUGAGACACAUACAAUGAUCGUCAUAUUCGGGAUGAGAAGUAUGAGACUAAGAACAAGUACAAAAGGCUCCACAGUGAGAAGGAAAUGAAGAGAGCACGUGUAACACCAUGGUCUGACAUCAGAGCCUUUAUUGCUGUAUUGCCAAGUGCUGGGUUAUGCUGUUUCUCAUAGUCUCCUUCUAUGCUAAAGCUGAAGCAAAACAGAAAAUAAAAACAAACAUUGGCAGUUGCGUAAUAGCAGUGCACCACCCUUCAAAGAUGUCCAUGGCCUAAUCUUUGGAACCUGUGAAUAUGUCACCUUACGUGGCAAAAGAGAUUUUGCCAAUGUGAUUCACCAAAGGAUAUCAAGAGGGGAAGACCAUUGUGCAUUAUCUGGGUGGGCCCAAUGUAAUCACAAGAGUUCUUAAAAGUGGAAAAGGGAAUAGGAGAGUGAAAAGAAGGGGCCCCAGCGAAGGAGUGUGGGCAGCCUCUAGAAGGGGGAAAGACAGGGAAACAAAUCAUCCCAUGAAGCCUCCUGAAAGGGCACAGCCCUGAUUUUAGCCCAGCAAGACCAAUUUCCGACUCCUGACCUCUGAAGUACAAGACAUUAAAUCUGUCUUUUUUUAAGGCAUCUAUUUUAUGGUAAUUCAUUACAGCAGUCGCAGGAAAUAAUAUAGUGGCUAAAAGCAUCAACUUUGGAAUCAUAUAGAUUCAGAUUAAAACCUGCAUUCUCCAGUUGACAACUCCGUGUCCUUGGGAAAGUUAACACCAGCUCAUGAGAUAACAAAAGUGUUAAUGAAAAGUGUGAAUGUGCCCAGGGCAUAUACAGAAGAGAUUUGCCUCAAACUAUUCUAUAUAUGUUGGAGCAUGAAUAAUUAUUUUAAAAAAUAGCACUUCAUGUAAUAAAUUGUCUUACAGAAUGAGAGGUGAUAUAUGUCACAAAACACUCCUUUUUGUGCAACAAACGCCAGCCAAAUAUGAAGGAAAUAUUAUUACUAUUAGAGUAAAGCUAUCCCAUCCAUAAAACCUAAGAGGUUAACAAGAAAAAUAUGGCUUCCAUUUGGGGACUUUUUUGAUUUGACUGUCUCAUAUUGAGGUGAGAAAAUUAUAACUCUGAAGAGGAACAGUAUCAUUCCUAAGUCCUGAGACAUAUUAGAAAAACUCAUCAAAGAAUAUCCUUCUUCAAUCGUGCUUUGAUUCUGUAACAGUAGGCAUCGGCAAACUAUUCUUAAAGGGUGGCUAGUAUACCCUUGGACUUUUCAAGCCAUACAAUCUUUGUUCCAACUAUUCCACUCUGCCAGGUAGUGGGACAUAGGGAAUGUUAAGUAAAUGUGUCUGACUAUGUAACAAACUAUUCAUAAGAACAACGGCCAGCCUGCAUGCUGUGGUUUGCCAAACCCUGUGUUAAAGUGGCAUCUUGACCUGAAGGAUGUUCACUCUAACUAGCAUUCAUAGUGCCCUCUUUUAUUCUCAAAAAUGCCCUGGGGUACAUAGCGCUGGUCCUGUGGCCACAUAGGCCUAGAAGUCUCUGCUCUGCCCAGGAUCCAACAAAGGCACUUGAUUGUGGAAUACAAGGUGUAUUUAUUCACCUUGGAAGACCCCAAGUGUAGAUAGGGACUGUCCUAGACAUGUGGUACAAUGGUCAUCCCACAUCUGCCUCACAUUUCACAAAGAUGAGCACAUUCAGCAACCCCAUGAGAUAUAACCUGCUCAAAGGAAGGGAAAGGAUGUGUCAUGGGUCUGUAUUUGCUGAGUAACUACCCAGAGGCAGAGUUCCCAGGAAGCAAGUGAAGAUGACUCUGCAGAGCCCUAACCACAAGGGCCACUCCCAAGACCCUAGAGAGGGCCUGCAGGGUAUUCACACAGUCACAAGUGUGCAUAAAGUGUGUGUGCAUAUAAGCAUCAGGCCCUCCUUGACUUUGUAGACACUAUUCCAGAUGCUGGGUGAACACACUCAACAAAAGAGCUCUCAGAGGACUGGGAUGGGGCUCAACCAAUUCAGAACUAUCACCUGCUCACUCACCCUCCAGAAAUCAUCGAUGCAGGUACUGACACUAAUGGAUCUUAGCUGCACUUGGCUGAGAAAUAAAUCGGUUCUAUAGAUCGGCAAUAAACACAGCUACAGCAGGGAACGCAGCUUCAGCAGUCCACCUAUGCCUGCGAGAAGAAAGGGAUGGGCUAGACGGGGAAUGGGAAUUUGACUGCAGAUUCAUGUGUGUAUGAUGUGUGAUUUGGAUGGAUGGCUAAACUGAGUUUUUUCUCUUUCCACACGCCAACGCCAGAUACCUGGUUGCAGGCCUCUGGCUGCAGGAACCAUAUGUGCUGCUGGAUGGGGUAGUGCAGCACAGGGACGUGGGAAGACCCACUGUCCCCAGAGGCCUUCCCGACCAGAGUGCAGAGCGCCUGUGUCUCCACAUGACUCAGCAAUGACUGUGGCCUGAGAAUGCCUGGCUGCACAGAAACAUCAAUCUGGGAUUUAAAAAUAAACAGGCUGGGUGCAGUGGCUCAUGCCUGUAAUCCCAGCACUUUGGGAGGCCAAGGCAGGUGGAUCACCUGAGGUCGGGAGUUCCAGACCAGCCUGACCAACAUGGAGAAACUCCAUCUCUACUAAAAAUACAAAAAUUAGCCGGGCAUAGUGGUGCAUGCCUGUAAUCCCAGAUACUCGGGAGGCUGAGGGCAGGAGAAACGCUUGAACGUGGGAGGCAAAGGUUGAGGUGAGCUGAGAUUGCACCAUUGCAUUCCAGCCUGGGCAACAAGAAUGAAACUCCGUCUCAAAAAUAACGGUAAUAAUAAUAAUAAUAAACAAAUAAACCAUUCAUACUGUAGUCCAGAUAUUCUUUCCAAUCAGCCCUGCUACAAGAUCUUGUGUUGGAAGCAAUUUUCAAGCUUUUCCUCAUGGAAGGAAAAAAGGACUUACUUAUAUUUUUAGCCUCUAAACAGUCACUUUGCACUUGAAACCUGUAAACUUAUUUGCUAUACUUUAUUUUUGAAUAUUUUGAUGGCUGUCUCUGCCAUAGCCACUCAACUGUGGUCUUCACACGUCUGUCAUAAAUGAACCCAUAUAUACAUUAGGUCUGAUACAAAACCAAAAUAUGUUAUUAAGGGUUUGGGCAGAUAUAUAAAAAGUUGAACACAUUUUAGUUUACUGCUGUUCUUAAAGUGAUUACCAACUGCGGACCAUUCUUGUACUUAUGAAAUAAAAUAUAAGCAUGCCUGCUAACAAUUCCAAUUUUAGUACCUUAGCUAGAAAUGGGUUUUGAAUCAGUUCUAAUGUUUAUAUUCAUGUUACAAUUAUGACCAAAUUAUACUAUUACUUUUAAAGAUUUUGGAACUGUUGUUUAAAUUUCUGGUUUGCUAUUUAGGUAUGUUAAAAAUGCAAAUUGUUUACAUAGUUCAAAUCCCUAAUCUAAGGCCACAGGAAAUAUAAUACCUCAAAAACAAAAAACUAAACCAACAAAAC
rnacentral:lncRNA from 10 species